CAGUCGCCGCGGGAAUACGGAGGGGGCUAGCGUUGCUCGGAAUUACUGGGCGUAAAGCGUACGUAGGCGGCUUUGUAAGUUAGAGGUGAAAGCCUGGAGCUCAACUCCAGAAUUGCCUUUAAGACUGCAGAGCUAGCAGGUGAGAGAGGUGAGUGGAAUUCCGAGUGUAGAGGUGAAAUUCGUAGAUAUUCGGAAGAACACCAGUGGCGAAGGCGGCUCACUGGCUCAUACUGGACGCUGAGGUGCGAAAGCGUGGGGAGCAAACAGGAUUAGAUACCCCCGUAGUCCCUGUCUAUUAUAC
rnacentral:rRNA from 1 species